UACGUAGGGGGCAAGCGUUGUCCGGAUUUAUUGGGCGUAAAGAGCGUGUAGGCGGCCAUACAGGUCCGUUGUGAAAACUCGAGGCUUAACCUCGAGACGUCGAUGGAAACCGUAUGGCUAGAGUCCGGAAGAGGAGAGUGGAGUUCCUGGUGUAGCGGUGAAAUGCGCAGAUAUCAGGAGGAACACCGGUGGCGAAGGCGGGUCUCUGGGCCGAUACUGACGCUGAGGAGCGAAAGCGUGGGGAGCGAACAGG
rnacentral:rRNA from 1 species